GAAAUGCGAUAAGUAAUGUGAAUUGCAGAAUUCAGUGAAUCAUCGAAUCUUUGAACGCACAUUGCGCCCGCCAGAAUUCUGGCGGGCAUGCCUGUUCGAGCGUCAUUUCAACCCUCGAGCUCCCCUUUCGGGGGGAGCCCGGCGUUGGGGACCCGGCGCUAACAACGCCGGCCCCGAAAUGGAGUGGCGGCCCGUCCGCGGCGACCUCUGCGUAGUAACAACCACUCGCACCGGGACCCGGGCGCGGCCACGCCGUAAAACACCCCACCUUCCGAAUGUUGACCUCGAAUCAGGUAGGAAUACCCACUGAACUUAAGC
rnacentral:misc_RNA from 1 species